CCUGUCGGACCGGUCCGACACGUCCAACGCCGAAAAACAACAAUAAAGAAUCGUGCUAAAAACAGCGCGUGGCCUUCGGGGAGGCUGAGACUGCGGAAACGGGCGCGAGGUGUUGGCGUCACGUGACAUACAGAGAGUCCUGUUGGAGUUUACAUCCUGUUUAUGUCAUUGACUGUUUUUUACCUACUGUACCUGAAGCCUUCGCCAUUGUUUGUCCAACACUGCCACCUAACUAAAAUCCUGCUCCCAGUAACUGAAUCAGAAUCAGCUUUAAUCGCUGAGUUUGCACAGGACAACCAAGGAAUUACUGGCCCCAUCUUUGUUCCCUCUUGUGGCAUAAACACACAUUAUUUACAGUUUUUAUUAUAGUUAUUUACACAAAAUAAUGGGUGCUGCAUUUAGAAAAAUGUAAAUACUAAAAACACAAAAGUAAAAAAAAAUACACUGUAAAUAAACAAUACCCAGUCAAAUACAGUAAUGUGUUUUAUUUUUUAAUGUUUUAGUUGACAAACUGUUGUUGUUUUCCUAAGUUGUAUUUUUGACUAAUUGUUCAAAGCUCUUGGACAAUUGUAUAAUAAACUGGCAUUAAGAUAAAAUAAAAUAAUAUAAAAUAACGAACAUUUUAACAUUACUGUAAAUAUGUAAAUUGCACAACAAUUGUAACAUAACUCAUUUAUAGAAUUAUUGUUUACCCUUAACCAUGCAACUAUUCAAAAAAACUUAUUAUAUAGAGUGUGAAGACUUGACUUAUGUUGUUUUAGUCAAAUAAAUUGUAAAUACAACUUUAAAGACAUCAUAAAGGGAAUACAGUAAAGGUGAUAUUUAACGGAGCGUAUGAGAUUAGAAAUAUUUUCCCCAUUACUAUAUAGCUGAUUUUAACACUCUGGCCUGUGAGUGGCAGUA